CAUAAUCUAGCUUAAC
rnacentral:tRNA from 1 species